UACGUAGGGUGCGAGCGUUGUCCGGAAUUAUUGGGCGUAAAGAGCUCGUAGGCGGUCUGUCGCGUCGGUCGUGAAAACUUGGGGCUUAACCCUGAGCUUGCGGUCGAUACGGGCAUGACUGGAGUUCGGUAGGGGAGACUGGAAUUCCUGGUGUAGCGGUGAAAUGCGCAGAUAUCGGGAAGAACACCCGUGGCGAAGGCGGCUCUCUGGAACGCAACUGACGCUGAGACGCGAAAGCGUGGGGAGCAAACAGG
rnacentral:rRNA from 1 species